rnacentral:rRNA from 1 species
CCUACGGGAGGCAGCAGUGAGGAAUAUUGGUCAAUGGGCGUAAGCCUGAACCAGCCAAGUCGCGUGAGGGAUGAAGGUUCUAUGGAUCGUAAACCUCUUUUAUAAGGGAAUAAAGUACGGGAUGUGUCCCGUUUUGUAUGUACCUUAUGAAUAAGGAUCGGCUAACUCCGUGCCAGCAGCCGCGGUAAUACGGAGGAUCAGAGCGUUAUCCGGAUUUAUUGGGUUUAAAGGGUGGGUAGGCGGCCUUUCAAGUCAGCGGUGAAAGUCUGUGGCUCAACCAUAGAAUUGCCGUUGAAACUGGGGGGCUUGAGUAUGUUUGAGGCAGGCGGAAUGCGUGGUGUAGCGGUGAAAUGCUUAGAUAUCACGAGGAACCCCAAUGGCGAAGGCAGCCUGCCAAGCCAUGACUGACGGUGAGGCGCGAAAGCGUGGGGAGCAAACAGGAUUAGAUACCCCUGUAGUC